rnacentral:rRNA from 1 species
UCUAGAGAUUACUCCUACGGGAGGCAGCAGUGGGGAAUAUUGCACAAUGGGGGAAACCCUGAUGCAGCCAUGCCGCGUGUGUGAAGAAGGCCUUCGGGUUGUAAAGCACUUUCAGUAGGGAGGAAGGGUUGAUGUCUAAUACGCAUCAACAUUGACGUUACCUACAGAAGAAGCACCGGCUAACUCCGUGCCAGCAGCCGCGGUAAUAAUCGUCGAC